UACGAGGGGGGCGAGCGUUGUUCGGAAUUAUUGGGCGUAAAGGGUGCGUAGGCGGUUUGGUAAGUCUGAUGUGAAAUCUAUGGGCUCAACUCAUAGUCUGCAUCGGAAACUGCCGGGCUUGAGCAUGGGAGAGGUGAGUGGAAUUCCUGGUGUAGCGGUGAAAUGCGUAGAUAUCAGGAGGAACACCUGUGGCGAAAGCGGCUCACUGGACCAUAACUGACGCUGAUGCACGAAAGCUAGGGGAGCAAACAGG
rnacentral:rRNA from 1 species